rnacentral:rRNA from 1 species
GACGAACGCUGGCGGCGUGCCUAAUACAUGCAAGUCGAACGCAGUGGGGACAGGUGAGUAACACGUGGGUAACCUCCCAUCUGAGUGGAUAACACUUGGAUACAGGUGCUAAUCCGAUACUGAUGGAUGGACCCGCGGGGGAUUAGCUAGUUGGUGGGGUAACGGCUCACCAAGGCCACGAUGCAUAGCCGGCCUGAGAGGGUGAUCGGCCAAACUGGGACUGAGACACGGCCCAGACUCCUACGGGAGGCAGCAGUAGGGAAUAUUGGGCAAUGGACGAAAGUCUGACGGAGCAACGCCGCGUGAGUGAAGAAGGUUUUCGGAUUGUAAAACUCUGUUGUGAGAGAAGCGGUAUCCAAACAGAAAGCCACGGCUAACUACGUGCCAGCAGCCGCGGUAAUAC